rnacentral:rRNA from 1 species
GGAUGAACGCUAGCGGCAGGCUUAAUACAUGCAAGUCGAACGGUAAGGCCCUUUCGGGGGUACACGAGUGGCGGACGGGUGCGUAACGCGUAUGCAACAUGCCCUCCAGCGGGGGAUAUGCCGGGGAAACUCGGUGCAACACCCCAUGGCAUUCCGGGGUCGCAUGGCCUUGGGAUUAAAUCCUUGGAGCUGGAGGAUUGGCAUGCGUGACAUUAGCUAGUUGGCGGGGUAACGGCCCACCAAGGCGACGAUGUCUAGCUGGUCUGAGAGGAUGAUCAGCCACACUGGGACUGAGACACGGCCCAGACUCCUACGGGAGGCAGCAGUAGGGAAUAUUGGACAAUGGGGGGAACCCUGAUCCAGCCAUGCCGCGUGAGGGAAGAAGGUCCUCUGGAUUGUAAACCUCUUUUGGCGGGGGACAAACCUGCGCUACACGCGCAGCUGAGGGUACCCGCAGAAUAAGCACCGGCUAACUCCGUGCCAGCAGCCGCGGUAAUACGGAGGGUGCAAGCGUUGUCCGGAUUCAUUGGGUUUAAAGGGUGCGUAGGCGGCCUGGUAAGUCAGCGGUGAAAUACCCACGCUCAACGUGGGAACUGCCGUUGAUACUGCCGGGCUUGAGUUCGUGCGAGGUCGCUGGAAUGCGUGGUGUAGCGGUGAAAUGCAUAGAUAUCACGCAGAACACCGAUUGCGAAGGCAGGUGACUGGCACGCGACUGACGCUGAGGCACGAAAGUGUGGGGAGCAAACAGGAUUAGAUACCCUGGUAGUCCACACCGUAAACGAUGGAUACUAGGUGUCCGGGGCUUCGGCCCUGGGUGCCCAAGGGAAACCGAUAAGUAUCCCACCUGGGGAGUACGUUCGCAAGGAUGAAACUCAAAG